CCUACGGGGGACAGCAGUGAGGAAUAUUGGUCAAUGGGCGCGAGCUUGAACCAGCCAAGUCGCGUGAGGGAGGACGGCCCUACGGGUUGUAAACCUCUUUUGCCGGGGAGCAACGGGCGCCACGUGUGGUGUCACUGAGAGUACCCGGAGAAAAAGCAUCGGCUAACUCCGUGCCAGCAGCCGCGGUAAUACGGAGGAUGCGAGCGUUAUCCGGAUUUAUUGGGUUUAAAGGGUGCGUAGGCGGAUCGUUAAGUCAGUGGUCAAAUUGAGGGGCUCAACCCCUUCCCGCCAUUGAAACUGGCGUUCUUGAGUGGAAGAGAAGUAGGCGGAAUGCGUGGUGUAGCGGUGAAAUGCAUAGAUAUCACGCAGAACCCCGAUUGCGAAGGCAGCAUGCCGGCUUCCGACUGACGCUGAAGCACGAAAGCGUGGGGAUCGAACAGGAUUAGAUACCCGUGUAGUC
rnacentral:rRNA from 1 species